CCCCGACAGCCCGCACCCGGAGGCGCACACUUGGCGGGCGCCGCGGCGACGGCCUCCCCACCGCGCAUUCCUCGGCUUGCUCCUCCGCGACCUUCACCGCGCGGACCACCUCCCCGUCGGCCGUCGAGGAGGUGCUGAAGGACUUCCGGACUUCCUUUUCCGCGGGAGCGACGACAGCGCUCCAGCUCCAAGGUGCUCAAACGCCUAGCACCUACCACAUCCUCAACAGGAUGCUUAUUGCAGUACCCUGGCGUAUAGUAAGAAAUCAGUUGUUUAGGAUAAUCUUUGUAAGUUGGUUCUUGCUUUUCUAUCAACUUACACUUUUUCUUCAUGCUUAAAGAGGCAAUUAAAGAAGUUGUGACUGUAUCUAAGCAAGAGUGGAAGAAAUAUGCAAAACAUACAAACUGUAAGUAGAAACCCACCAGAUUGGUGAAACACGACUUGAUGUUAUUGAAAAAUAGAUAAUCUGAUAGAAGAAAAUUGCCGGAAUGAGUAGUACUCUGGUGAUAAUUACUCAUAUUUGGCUUCUUAACUGAUACUGUGCUCUGUAGCGCUGUUCAUUGCAGAUUUGCAGCCAUCAACAGGUUGGUAUGAAGCAAAUAAUUCAAUUAUACAAUGCCAAAGCGCUUUGUUUAAUCCCUACAAUCCAUGAAUUUGAUUGCUUAACUCAGCAUCAUGCUACAACCUCGUACACAUGUUGGCAACAUUUCUGUUCUGACAUCCAAUAUUUUUGCCUAAUCUGUCUGCAGGCUUUGUCAGUUUGUGGUCUAAACAGAGCAGCCGAUGGCACACCUUGGUAGGACUAGGCUGUCUGCCUUACCCGAUGUCUUAAAAACGAUCUGGGGUUCACUCUCCAUUCAAGGACCUAUCUGACCAACUGCACAAGUAGCAUCAGCCGUAACAGUGUUGCUGCACCCACGGCGUCCUGUCACUGUCAGCAUCCAAGGCAAGGGGGCAAUGCCUUCCCGGCCGAUGCGUGUCCUCGCUCCCGCCCUCCCCAGCGACUCAGCCGCCGCCGCCGCCUCUGCUGCCACCGUGCUCUCCAUCCUCCGCGGGGCUGACCCUGACCGCCUUCUCCCUGCGGCCGGCAUCGCCCCAACGCCCACCAUACUCCAGCACCUCCGCCCCGCGCUCCCCACCCUCCCCGACCUCGCGAUCCCCGCCCUCGCCCGUUGGGCCGGCGCCGCCACCGCCGUCUCCCUCCUUGCCUCCCGCGGCCUCUUCGCCGCCGCCUGGCGCUUCCUCUUGCUCCAAUCACCUUCCUCCCCGCCGCAUUCGCCUCGCUCCUCCGCCGCUACGCGCGCCUCGGGCGCACCGCCGCCGCAGUCCGCGCGUUCCGCUUCCUGCGCUGCAACCCCGACCGGUACACUGUCAGCAACGAUGUCGACGACGACGACGGCUCGUCGUCUGGCGCAGAGGUCUCCCCGUUGAUCCUGGCCGUCGACGCGCUCUGCAAGGAGGGCCACCCGCGUGCCGCGGCGCAGCUCGUCGAGCAGCUCCGGCGCGAGGACCCUGGGUGGACGCCUGACGUGCAGGUCUACAACGUCCUACUCAACGGAUGGUCCCGCGCGCGACGGCUCGACAAGGUGGAGAAGCUUUGGGUGGCGAUGCGCCAUGCCGGCGUGCGGCCGACGGUGGUCACAUACGGGACCCUCAUCGACGCGCACUGCGUCAUGCGGCAGCCUGACCAGGCGAUGGGGCUCCUUGACCAGAUGCGGGAGGAGGGGAUCGAGGCGAAUCUGCUCACCUGCAACCCCAUCGUGUAUGCCCUUGCGCAGGCAGGCCGUUUCGGGGACGCACACAAGGUGCUCGAGAAAUUCCCCCUCUACGGUGUUGCGCCGAAUAUCUCGACAUUUAACUCCCUCGUCUUGGGCUACUGCAAGCAUGGUGACCUUGCUGGGGCUAGUAGAGUGCUCAAGGCGAUGCUGGGGCGGGGCAUUUCGCCAACCGCAAGGACAUACAACUACUUUUUUAUGGUCUUUUCGAGGAACUGCAGUAUUGAGUUGGGGAUGAAUCUCUACAGCAAGAUGGUCAGCAAUGGCUAUGCGCCAGACCGUCUCACUUACCACCUCCUCAUCAAGAUGUUGUGCGAAGCGAACCGGCUUGAAUUAACACUGCAGAUGCUCCAGGAGAUGAGAAAUAGUGGUUUUGAGCCGGAUCUUGCAAUCAGCACCAUGCUGAUACAUUUGCUCUGCCGGCGCCAUCAGUUUGAGGAGGCUUUUGCGGAGUUUGAGCAUAUGUUUGAGAGAGGGAUUGUGCCCCAGUAUAUCACUUACCGGAUGCUUAUGAAAGAGCUCAAGAGGCUUGGUUUAGUCAAAUUGGUACAGAAGUUGACAGAUCUAAUGCGUUCAGUACCACAUUCCACAAAGUUACCUGGCAGUUACAGGGACAAGGAAGGAGAUGAUGCUAUAGAGAAGAAGAAAUCAAUAUUACAGAAAGCCCAGGCCGUUUCAGAUGUUUUAAAGGAGUGUAAAGAUCCGAAGAAACAGCACAAGCUCAAAAAUCCUGAAGAAACCGAUGUCCAGGUUGCAGAUAGGAUUGUAGCCAACAUUAGGAAAAGAGUAUACAGAGACGUCUCUAGGAUAGAGCCGUCUGUUUCAUGAACAUUUAGUUCCAUGGUGUAUACUUAUAAAUAUUAAUUGCAUGAUGAUGGGUUUUGCAGUCGGUUGCAUUAUUCAUCUGAAACUAUGAUCAUCUAAGCAAUUCUUACAUGCUCCAUGUAUCUUGAAAAAAAGGUAAUACUAGUAGAUUGUGACGCAGGCACGCAGAUCAACUGUUUAGUGA